UGCUGGUGAGUUAUUCCAAGCUUGCCACAUGGUGGCGCUCUCCACAACUCAUGAGGGCGCUCUUCAUUGUUACCACAGAUUCAUGGUCCUUAUUGAUGACACAUGUCUGUGUCCUAAAUUUUUGACUCGUAUUUUGACUCAGUAUAAUUCGAUCAUCCUUCCACCCCAGGACCCGAGGACAGAGUUUUUACGUGAACUCUGCAAUCGCCACAGUCAUUUUUGGUAAUAAAUAAGCCAGGAAUAUACA